UAGGGAAUAUUAGAAAUGGACGAAAGUCUGAUCUAGCAACACCGCGUGUGCGAAGAAGGCCUUCGGGUCGUAAAGCACUCUUUGGAAGGAAUAGGGAGGAAUGUACUUCCAGAAUAAGUCUCGGCUAACUACGUGCCAGCAGCCGCGGUAACACGUAGGAGGCAAACGUUAUCCGGAUUUACUGGGCGUAAAGCGCGUGUAGGUGGUACUGUAAGUAGGGCGUGAAAGCUCCUGGCUCAACUGGGAGAGGCCGUUCUAAACUACAGAACUAGAGGAUGGUAGAGGGAGGUGGAAUUCCGGGUGUAGCGGUGGAAUGCGCAGAUAUCCGGAGGAACACCAGUGGCGAAAGCGGCCUCCUGGACCACUCCUGACACUCAGACGCGAAAGCUAGGGUAGCAAACG
rnacentral:rRNA from 1 species